GAUGAACGCUGGCGGCGUGCUUAACACAUGCAAGUCGAACGGGACUUGUUAAGUUGAAACUUCGGUCGAUUCUUUUCAAGUCUAGUGGCGGACGGGUGAGUAACGCGUGGGUAACCUGCCUCACACUGGGGGAUAACAGUCAGAAAUGACUGCUAAUACCGCAUAAGCGCACAGCAUCGCAUGAUGCAGUGUGAAAACUCCGGUGGUAUGAGAUGGAUCCGCGUCUGAUUAGCUAGUUGGUAAGGUAACGGCUUACCAAGGCAACGAUCAGUAGCCGACCUGAGAGGGUGACCGGCCACAUUGGGACUGAGAUACGGCCCAG
rnacentral:rRNA from 1 species